UACGACUUACGGAGGAGCAUGGUUUAUCGUGAUAAGCCAAAACCCCUUUUAGCUUUAACUAUGGUUCUUUCUUGAUAGCCCUGCGUGAGUGUGAGCAGUGUGAGCAGUGGACAGAGGCAGUAAUAAGAAGCGCAGCGCUUUUUUUUUCCCCUCCCUGUCGCUGCCAUUUUGUUUGUUUUCGAUCGCUCAUUCAUUUUGGCUUUGCUCCAAGCGCUUUCCAUCGCUCCGAAAUCGAUCCCAUUUCCUUGGAGUGAGGAUUUAAUCGCCUCGCCAAUCCAGUGCUAGGCUAUAGCUAUGGGGAAUGCGUGCUUGCGGAGUAGCGAGAUCCACCACCACCAAGAAGAGGAGGACGAGGACGAGAUAAUGGGAGGGUCGCUGGCCUCCAAGAGGCUCAAUCUCUUGAGGAAGAAGAAGCUCCAGCAAUCUAAAGCUGCGUUCUCUUCUCCAUCUUCUUCUUCUUCUUCUUCUUCUUCUGCUAUGGCUACUUCUUCUUCUUCUUCUUCUUCAUCUCGAUCUCUUGUUGUUCCUGUGGAGAUGAAGCCCGCCAUGGAGAUCCUGCCCAGCUCCCAGGAGGGCGUGAUGCGAGUGAAGCUCAUCAUCUCCACGAACCAAAUGGCCAGCAUGAUCAAUGCGAGCUACAAAAAGGACGACUUCCUCGAGAGCCUCAUCACGUCGCUGCUCAAGGAGAAGGGGAUCAACAUUCCAGAGCAGCAGCACCACAAGCUCUCCGCCUCCAGCUCCAGGAAAUCGAGCUUCUCGUCGUGGAAGCCCGCAUUGGAGAGCAUUCCCGAGGUCAGAUCAUCCUAGAACAGACAUUCUCUCGACGCGGGAGCUCCUUUUUCGGUUGGAGGAUUUUCAGUCUUUUAGUAUGUUUCUUCCUUCUCUCGGUGUUCUUCCGGUUAAAGCUUCUCCAGUCGAUCAAAACUCGAUCUGGGCGUUUGAUCCAGCAGAAGCCCACCACGAAGAACAAUCCACCAGCAGCAUUCCGGCGAGAAACGAUUACCUCUCGAAAGAAUCCCCUCUUUUCCUUUUGUAUAGAAGCGAUACUGCUCUAACUCUGCUACUACUACUAUACAUGAAAAGUUCCUCUUUUUCUUGUCUUUUGUUUGCUUGCUCGCUCGCCGCGAUUAGAUUAGAUGAUGAUAAAGCUCUCUCGGAUCGAAUCAAGCCGGUCUUUUUGGCACGAUCGAUCGAUUUUUCUAACAUCUCUUCGAACUUUUCUUCGUGUCCCCGCGCUUGCUUGCCCCGCUUUGAUCCAUCGCAUCGGUUUUUCCGGUUUCGUUUCGUUUUGGAAACUUUUCUCUCGCCAUCGAAGUGCUGGCUAUAGCAGCUCGUGCUUCCACACCAUUAAAAAAACGCGAGGAAAUUCUUCUUCUAGAUGAAAACAAGAGCUUUUCUAGGGUAGCCACUCACAUGGCUAUAGUUUAGCAGCUAUGAUUUUGCUGCAAGACACGAGAACUUGUUUGAUUCCUUCUUCACAUGCCUGUGUUCUUUGUGGAACUUGUUUAUCAUUUGUUUUCGUGUUCUUCAUAAGCUUCUUGAUGAUCUCGCUUAAACUUAAGAAACUAGGUGCAAGACAGCCAAGACCAACGAGAGAUCAUUUGAUUAAAUCGGUGGAAACCAUAUUUUUUAAUGGGUGGAAACCAUGGGAAACAGUUAGAGACCAUCGGGCCAUAUAGCUUAAGGUUGGCUCGAUUUCACGCGAUGAUUGAUCGAGUCAAUUACUGUAUGGCUCUCUCUAUAGUUUUCUUCUAGCGAUAUUUAUCUCCAAAAACUAAUGAUUGAAGUUACGUUUGUCGGUGCUUAGCGGCAAAACGUCAGCGCAAAUUUGAAAUCAUAAAUAUUCUGAGAAUAUACCAUAAGCAAUGACUGGCAUAUUCUAAGAAUAUAUUUAAGCCCUAACUUUAUUAACUAAAGCCCUAUUUUUAAAAUUUAAGCCCUUAUCUGUGUGUGUGGUGGGCUUGAUGAUCCACGAAGAGCUCUCCAUCGCGCCCACCGAUCAGCGUCCCAUGAGCGGCAUUCUCUACUCUCGGUGAGAAAUUCCCAUCCGAGACAGCGCGCGCGAGGCGAUGGCGGUGGCAGCGCCUCUGUUUGGCAAGGUCUGCCCGGUUCUUGGCGAGAAGGCCGCGGCAAUCGGGAAAUCGUCUAGGUUAGGUCCAGUCCAGCAGCAGAGAUUCACGGCGUUCUCGUCAUCGUCGUCGGCGGCGGAGGUCUUUGAUCCGUCUGGAUUGCCGCCAGAGUCUUCUCUGGCUUCCCCGUCUUCGAUCCGAUGGGCACAGCUUGCGUUGCAAGGUCCCCGGGCGGAGAUGGAGGACGACAUGGAGCUGGAGGAGGGGAGAAUUCCAGAAUUUACGUUUGCUGCGGUCUAUGAUGGUCAUGCCGGUAUAUCAUCAGUGAACUAUCUCAAGUAAGCUCUCUACAAUUCGAUUUUGAUCUUUCUAGCGAUGGUUCUUCAGGAAAGAGCUAUUCAGCGAAUGCGUGAAUGCAUUGCAAGGAGGAGCUCUUCUACAAUCUGAUAACUCGAUCGAUUUGGAAGCGGCACUCUCGCAAGCUUUCGUCCAAGUUGACAAACGCUUGCUCUCGUGGUUCGUCUAGCUCGAUCCAUUCAUCUCCACACGUGAUCAAUGCGAGGUUUUGCUUUGCAGCAGGCUGGAGCAACAAGAGGAGGCUGAUCGAGAAUCUGGCUCCACUGCAACUGUCAUGUUUCUGGGUAAAGAGAAGGUGGUGGUAGCUCACGUCGGCGACUCACGAGUGGUACUGUCAUCGUCUUGCAAUGCUUUUGGAGGAUUUAACUAGUCUCCACUAGAUUAUCAGGUAAUUUCUCGAGGAGGAAAAGCCGAGGAGUUGACGAGUGAUCACAGGCCAUAUGGGAGCAGCAAGACAGCUCUAGCCGAGGGCAAGCGAGUCAUUGCUGCUGGAGGCUGGGUAUGUUUCUCUUGAUCUUUAGUUUUUGGUACUGAGAACACUCGUGUUUUGUGUUUGACUAGAUAAGCAAUGGCCGAGUAUGUGGUAAUUUGGCUGUGUCUCGUGCAUUUGGAGAUAUAUCCUUGAAGUCCCGUAGAAAAGAGUAAGAAAUCGUUCGCCAGUGAAGGAUUCUUUUGACGAAGGGAUCUGUCAGAAUGCUAGAGGAGGGGCUCAAGAAAAACUUGUGGACGCAGAAGUUUGUGUCGAAGUAAGUGAUAACUUUCCUUUGUCAUUGUUUUCACCAGUAUUUCCUAGACUUCACUCUAGAGUGUUUCAGGCGGGAUCUCACAGGAGAAUGGCUGACUGCGGCACCGGAUGUUACUGCUGCCACUCUUGGUCAGGACGCCGAGUUCAUCAUUCUUGCUUCAGACGGCUUGUGGGAUUCCAUCAAAAGGUGAAUUCCAGAGCUCAUGCAGGACUCACAAGCAACUUUUAUGGUUUUCCCAGUAAGGACGCUGUAGCAUUUGUGAGAGAGCAACUGAAAGAGCACGGAGAUAUCCAGGUAAUAAUGUUUCCAAUUCCAUCUCUCCAUAACGACUAGCUUUCCGUAUCUCCCAGCGCGCUUGUGAGAACCUUGCGGCCGCUGCUCUGGUAACUUCUAUCCAUCUUACUUUCUUAAAAUCUCAUCCACUUUACAGGCCCAAAAUGGCCAAGACAACAUCAGUAUUCUCAUUGCCGAUUUCGGGUGAGUGAAUUUGGUACCUCUACAUUCUCACAGACGCAAGAUCAAAUCAACAGAAAGGUAGCACGCGUGGAUGGACUUGCGCAGCACCAAGACGUCUCAGCUGGGGUAAAGCAGGUGCUAGUAACGUCUGGCAUUCUACUGCUAGGAGUUUAUGCUUCUCAUCUAGCAAGCUUGAUCAGAUAAGUUCCACUCUUUACAUUCAUAGUUGAUCAGCUUUCAUCUAAAAUUUGCAAAACUUUGGCGAUCGAACAAGAAUCCGCUCAACAAUCUUCCCAAGUUUUUGUAACCAUAUGUUAAGAACCGAUAAUGCUGGUAAGCUCAUUUUCUGCUUCUGGCUCAUGCUCUUCCUUGUCCUCUUGCAGCUCCUCGUUUACAAAAUAACCAUUGCUCGACUUCUCGUAAGUCACCUUGCUCAAGCCAGUGCUCAUCUCGGUUUGAGCUUGGAACGAAUUCACCACCCUGUCCCGGUCCUUGGGAUACGACCAGUAGAGGAAGGUGUAUGUCAAGCAACAAGUCGCCAUGGGUAUGGCAUAGGCGGUGUAGAGGGCCUUUCCCAGAGACACGGCAUCGCCACUGUUAGCCUCCACUGGAUUCUUGGACGUAGGUGGCGGCGGCACGUAUCCAUACAAGUGCUCCGCGAGCAAGCCCACGAUGGGAGGAGCAAACGAAGCGAGAACCGACUCGAAGGACCGAUCCAAUGCGUAGAUCGUUGUCCGGGACUUCUCGGGGACGAUCUCCGCAAAGAUUGGACUGUUUGAUCCUCGACAGAGUUAGCAGAUGGAAGAUCUUUGAAGAGCAAAACUGUGGAAGAGCUUUCAAGAGCAGGGGACUUACUUGUUGGUGGCUGGAGCAUUCCACGACGUACAAAAUCCUAGCACGGCGAAGAUGAGAGCGUGGAGCAGCAGCGAAUUAGAUCUCGGUGGCAAGCCCAGCAGUAGAAUCGCCGUAAGUGGCACUCCAGAGCCGGAGCUAAACUGAGCGAGGAUGAUUCUCCCAGAGUCCGGGAGAUGUUUAGAGAUGGUGUCUCCCAAAGUUCCAGCGAAGAGGCCUCCCAGAGAUCCGCAAGCCGUGAACAGGCCGAGAAGAAACGCUGUGUGCGUGUGGCUGAAUCCUUUGAGCUCCAGCCAAAGUGGAGCAAACGCUAGCGAUGCCCAAGGGAAGGUGCCAACAACACCCUGCGCUACCAAGAACUGGAAAGUUUUUACGUUGAUCACCAUCUUUCCUUCUUGAGUCGCUUCUUUGAGGCCACUCCACACUCCGGCAAAUCCCCGCUCCCUCUUCCUGGACAACAAAGAUCUCCAAAACUUUAGCGACCGACAAAGUCACGAGCUUACGCUUUGGCGGCAGGAUCCACCGCGAAGAUCAAGAGCAAGAUCCCGAGAACCACGCUGAUGGCCGUCACCAGCAAGAACGAGAGCCUCCAUCCCGAGAUCCCGAGGAAGCUCGUCCCGGCCAAGAUGAUCGACAAGAACCCACCAAGUAUCGUCCCCACGCUGCCCGUGAGCUGCAGCCAUCCAAACGCCUGGCCGCGCUUGGAUUCGUCGCAAGCAUCAGCUACGAGCGACUGGAUCGCGGGGACGACCAGCGCCAGCCCGACUCCAUUGAGAGCUCUCCACACUGCGAUCUGCGCGAGAUAUCCAAGACCCACUAAGCGAAGCGAUCGAGAUCUAGAGCUAAGUACGAUGGAUCUACGACUUACUUGCGUGAAGGUUUGAGAGAUCCCCACGAAGAACGUGGCAAUUGACCACAGGAAAGCGCCGAUGGCGAUCACUUUGGAGCGAUCGUAGUGGAGGCUGAAGUAAGCGGCGAAAGGGAAGCACAGCGCUUGGGUGAUCGAUCGGAGGAGCGUGAGAGACCCAAGUGCCGCUAGGCCCGUGUGGAGGCUCUCGCCUAUCUCUUUGUACACACCUGGGAGGAGCGCCUCGUCCGCUUGCUCCAUGACACUGGCGAGAUUCACCAGGACGAGCGUUCGCACCCGCUCGUCGCUCCAUAGCUUAGCCCUCAUUCCUCCUCCUCUCGCGGCCACUCCAAGGGAAUUAGUUCAAAAGUUUAACAGCUGUGCUUGACUAGAGUUGACUAGCUAACAUGACAACGCAUAUUCCAAGAGAUUUUUAUCGUGCAAUUCUGUGGUGAUCACGAGAGGAUCUGAGGAGUCGAAUCAUCGUGAUUUCUUAUUAAGUGUUUGAUAUAGUUCGGAAACCUGGAGCUGAACAGAUCGAAUCUCCUUAGAAGAAAAGUCACCGGCUAAAAAGAGCCCUAAAACCUGCUUGCUAGUGGUGAAAUAUAAUCAAUCAAAAUCAAGGUAAAUAAGGAAACUAAGAAUAUAUGGCUUAAGCCAUAGCUAAAGUUUAGAAUUUGUGUAGUAUAAUACAUUUUUUAGGGUUGCAGCACACAAUGCAAAGGAUAAACUUAGGUUUGGUAUUUUUAAGCCCACUUUAGGUGACAAAGCAUAUUCUAUUAAACUGGUCUAAGGGGAAAGAAAGUAGUCCUACUCAGCUAAAGUCAGCCCUAGUCAACUCCAAGUUGGCAGUGACGUGGACCAAUCCAUUACCGAUAAGGCCACUUCAGAUAGGGUAACGAGGCCCGAGCCAACCACGUCGUGCCACGUCUGCAGCUAGCGAGCAAAACCCCCUUCUUUCGUUUCGACCUAGUGUUCUUCGCAGACACACGUUCCCAGCACACGCUCGCGCUUUCUCUCACGCGAGAGAGAAGAUCAAAGCAAAGAAAGGAAGGAAUGGCGUUGGCGGCGGCUUCCGGGUGUGUGGGAUUAGUGUCUGGAACAGCAACGACGAGCGCAUCGUCGUCCAAAUUCUUUGCCGGCCAAUGCCGGGUCUCUCCAGCCGCGUCGUGGAAUCGGAGAGUCCCCUCCUCCGCCGGAUUGGUGGUGAGAGCUUGCGAGACCGCCGCCGCGCCACCAGCCACCGAGAAGAAGCCAGAGCCGGUUGGGCCUAAGCGUGGAUCAAUUGUAAGUGGAUCCUUCUUCCAAUUCUCGCUCGAUUUGAUCUUGGGUCUUGUUCUUCUUCCAUCUUCUCAUCGCGCACAUUGCUAAAUCCUUGGAUGGAUGCAGGUGAAGAUCUUGCGGCCAGAGUCGUAUUGGUUCCAGACCACGGGCAAGGUCGUGACAGUGGAUCAGGUAAGCAUUUCUACUACUUUUCGUUUCUCUUUCGAUCGACUCGAUCGAUUGCCUGGAUUUUCCUGAUGGGUUCCUUGCAAUCGCCAGACCCCCGGCGUGCUCUACCCCGUUGUUGUUCGAUUCGAGAAGGUGAAUUACGCUGGAAACUCCACAAACAACUACGCGCUGGACGAGGUCCAAGAAGUUUAAAAAGAAGCGCUCUCGUGUAAACCACAUAUAUCUCUCGCCUUUAUCUGUGAAAGAAAAAAAAGAGAAAAGAUCCUUACAAAGACUGUACUUAACGUCUAAAACGAGUAAUUUUAUAACAUGGGCUCCCGUGGCCUAAUGGAUAAGGCAUUUGACUUCUAAUCAAGGGAUUGUGGGUUCGAGUCCCACCGGGAGUGUUAUUUUUCAAAGCCCACAAAGGCGAAUAUACUUUUAGAACAUUUUUGGUUUUUUUUUUCUUCUUUAAAGCUCCCUGAAUAUGCGAAGCUGGCAUCUGUUCGAGAGUCUAUUGAUCUCAUUCGAUCCUGCAAUUCCCUCUCUCACGCCCAGCGCGUCCACAGCCACGUUCUUGGAAAAAAUGGCACCCAAAAUUCCACCUUUGUCUCUAACUUGCUCAUCCAGAUGUACGGCAAGUGUGGUGCCGUGCAGUCGGCACGGAUCGUCUUUGAUAGCAUCGCCCACAAGGAUAUUUUUUCCUGGAAUCUUAUGCUCGGCGCAUAUACCCGCAACGGGGAUCUGGACGCCGCAAAAGUGCUCUUUGAUAACAUGCCCGACAGAGAUCAUGUCUCCUCAAACACACUUAUAGCGGCAUUCUCCAAGUCCGGCAAGGUAGAUCACGCGGCAGAUUUGUUCGCGGCAAUGCCCGAUAAGAAUGUCGUGUCUUGGAAUUCGAUACUUGCAGCAUAUGCCCAGAAUGGGAAUCUUGCGGCCGCCAAACAAACGUUUGACUCCAUGCCCGAAAAGGAUCUUGUUUCCUGGAACACAAUCGUGGCGGCGAGUGCUCAAGCCGGGAAUCUAGAACUUGCAAAGGAUUUGUUCGAUCGGAUGCCCCAGCAUGAUCUAGUCAGCUUCAAUGCCAUGCUCGACGCAUUUGCCCGAAACGGGCAUCUGGCAGACGCUUACGCCCUUUUCCACGGGGAAAUGCUCUCCCGCGAGAGGAAUAUCAUCUCCUGGAACGCGAUGCUGGCUGCAAUGGACACUCCGGAGCGUGCAAAGGCGCUGUUCGAUCGAAUCCCUGCGCACGAUUGCUUCUCCUGGAACUCGCUCCUUUCAGUGUAUGGAUCUUCGCGGCUUGUGGAUGCUGCCAUGGAAAUCUUCGAGCUCUUGAUGCCGGAGUGGAAUCUCGUAUCAUGGAAUUCUCUCUUAUCAGCAAUGGCAGAUCGUCGAGAAGAUCGUCUGGUUGCAAGCAUCUUUGCGUCAAUGCCCGAGAGGAACCUCAUUUCCUGGACUGUGAUGCUGGGAUCUUGCUUGGAUCUUCCACAGGCGAAAGAAAUCUUUGAUGCGAUGCCCGAGAGGAAUCAAGUGUCCUGGAACACGAUGCUCGAGGCAUAUGCCCAAAAAGGGAAUCUGGAAGAUGCCGAGAAUCUCCUCUGUACGAUCCCCGACACGGACGAGGUAACGUGGAGCAUCAUGUUGAUGGCAUAUUCCGACCACGGCAAGCUCAACGAGGCCCUGACCGUGUUUGACCGAACCCCUCAUUAUGACGUUGUCCUGUUGACCACCCUGGUGUCGGCAUAUGCCCGGCACGGGCAUGUCCGCGAGUCGGAGAUUCUGUUUGACUCCAUGCCGGGGUGGACUCUCAUCUCGUGGAACGCAAUGCUUGCCGCAUAUCUCCACAACAGAGAGUUUGAUCUCGUUGACUGGACCUUCUCGUCAAUGCCGGUCAGAGACGCUGCGUCGUGGUCAGCGCUCGUGGCCGCAGUUGCCGCGAGAGGGCAAUUCGAGAGAGCCGAGUGUUUGCUCGAGACAAUGCCCGAGAGGGGCAUUGCCGCUUGGAACACAGUUCUAGCGAUGAACUCGAUCAAUCGGCGAGGAUCCCAAGCGGCGGAUAUCUUCGCAAGGAUGAAGCUGGAAGAGAAUUAUGGCAUGAAUGAGGUGACUCUCAAUUGCGUGCUGCUGGGGUGUACUCACGCGGGCGAUCUGGCUUCCGGGAGGAGGUACUUUCGAUCAGCAGCGCUGGAUCACGAAAUCCCAGCCACCAAGCAACACUACUGCUGCUUGAUCGAUCUUCUCAGCCGAGCUGGGUAUCUAAUCGAUGCCGAGGAGCUCUUGACUACCAUGCCCUUUGUUCCAGAGGCCCAGGACUGGCUUUGCCUGCUCGGGGCUUGCCGGAGCCACAGAGAAAUUGGAGUGGGAUCUCGCGCAGCGCAGGAAGUGCUUGGAUUCUCCAUGGCGAUGCUAAAAGCUGGGCCUUACAUCCUCCUCUCCAACAUGUAUGCUCUUGGCGAGCGCUUGGGUCUCCCAUCAAAGCUCUUCCUUCUUCCAUCCAGUCAAGAAUAUAGAUCUAGAGCCCUAAAUAUUUGAACUUUCCCGCCAUUUCGCGCCAAGGGUUUAGGGCAUUUCUCACCCGGGAUGGGGGCAAAAUCCAGGCUCCAGCAGCGGGACGCGCACGCCAAGGGUCGAUCGAUCAUCGCUUGGGACAAGGCAGGCAAGAAUCUCGUCACUGCUGGUGUCGAUGGCAAGGUUUUGAUCCACACCUGGGAUCCAUCGGUGCCCUCGGCCGUGAUCGCCACUAUCAAGGCACACAACGCGGCGGUCACUUGCGCAGCGCUCUCGCCGAAUGGGACGGUCUUGGCGUCUGGAUCGGUGGAUCACUCGGUCAAGCUCUACAGCUAUCCAGGUUAGGCGGUGUUUUUUAAGUAACUUUUCUUUGUGAGUGAUGGAUGAUUUCUUUUGUUCUAGAUGGGAAGUUUCAAAGCACAGUGACGAGAUUUACUCUGCCAAUUCGGUGCCUGGGAUUCAGUGCUACUGGCGGUCUUCUAGCCGCUGCUGGAGACGAUGAUGGAAUCAAGCUUAUAGCCAUGGCGGACAAUUCCAUAGCUCGGAUCUUGAGGGGUCAUGGUUCUCCAGUUACGUGGGUGGCGUUUGAUCCCAAGAACGAGUAUCUAACCUCGGCCGACAGCGACGGGACUGUGAUCUUCUGGCUCAUCUCUUCCGGAAAGAGCUUGCACACUCUCACACAGAUUGCUCCAAGGAUCGACGUCGAGUUCUCCGAGAGUAGCAACUGCGUUGCAUGGAGCCCUGAUGGAAAUCUCCUCGCGCUUCCGGGUCGCAAGAGCGAUGUUCUUCUCUUGGACAGGGACACGGCCGAAGAGAUAUGUACCUUCAAAGGUGGUCAUACGAGCCCGGUUAGCGCUUUGGCCUGGUCGCUCAAUGGGAAGUACCUUGCUACUGCCGGGAGUGAUCUUCAGGUGGUGCUUUGGGACGUAGAGAAGCAGCAAGACAUCGACGGGAUGCUGUUUGAGACGCCACUUUGCUCCAUCGCUUGGAAGCCAGUCGAGAAUGCCUUAGCGGCGAUCAACAUGGAGGGGAAGUUUUCAGUGUGGGAGUCGGCAGUGCCUCCACACAUGGUUUCCCCGACGAUCUGUGUUAAGUCCAGCCUUGUGUCGGCGACAAACUUCGAGCAGCUCCACAAGUUUAGUGAUGAUGAGGGGUCGGAAGGCCAUGGACAGUCCAUAGACUUGGGAAGCCAAGACACUGCUGGUGGUAACGAGGAUAAUGACGAGAGCAACGGUGAAGAAGAGGAAGAGGAGGAGUUCCUUAGCUCGAAGAGACGUCGCGGUGGAAACUCUGCGUCUUUGGAUGAUGUCUACGAUAAAAGGCCGGCAAAGAGGCCACAGGUAGAGACUGCGAGAGCCUCCUUCACGCUUAAAGUUCCGGCAAUGCAAGGAGCAUUUCAGCCGGGAUCCACUUACAAGGUUGAAGGGAAAAGAUGGUUUCUUGCUUACAAUCUCAUUGGUAGCAUAAGCAGCUGCGAUAAAGACGGUUCUUGUCAUGUGGAGGUAACUUAGUUACCUACUCGAUUCGAAGAUACUCACGUUCUUUUGCUGCUUACAGGUCGAGUUUCAUGAUAUUACUAAAGGAGUUCGCAUUCCCGCCAUGGCGGAUUAUUUUGGCUACACAAUGGCUUCUUUGGGAGAGAUAGCUUGCGUUCUUGCGAGUCCGCAAAAUGGCGAUAAGUGUCCGAGCACUCUGACAUACAGGCCUUUCAAUAGUUGGGCGAGCAACAGCGAGGUAGUAUUCACGGUUGGCACAACAGUUUUCUUAGUUUCAUGCUGCAGUGGUCGAUGAGAUUUCCUGCAAAUGAGGAGGUUAAGGCUGUUGCUGUUGGGAAUGGCUGGGCUGCGGCAGCAACAAGCUCUCACUUCCUUCGUAUCUAUUCGGAAGGCGGUGUGCAGGUAUAUUUCUUGGGUUUUUAAUACCACUUGUAACUUGCAAUGUUCUGCAGAGCUUUAUCCUUUCGCUGUCGGGGCCAGUAGUUUCAAUGAAUGGAUACCAGCAUCAACUCGUAGUUGUCACUCACUCUUCGAAUCCAUUAUCCACGGAUGAUCAGGUGAGCUUAUUAUUUUUCCUCUUCGCUUUAAAGAUCAUGCAAGUUUCUGGUUUGUGUAGGCAAUGGAGUUCGUGGUUCUGGAUUUGCAACGACGGAGCAAAGUCAUGGAUGGCCGUCUUCCACUUAGUCCUGGAUCAAGAUUAGCCUGGAUUGGUUUUAGUGAAGGUGGCUCUCUUGGGUUUUAUGAUUCUCAGGUAAUCGACGACUUUUUUUUUCGUCUUGUUGUCUCUAAAAGCUUUAAGCAGGGUGUCCUCCGACGGCAUUUUCAUGAGUUCGGUGGUUGCUGGGUUCCUAUCUUUCGGUAAUGUGCAGUUGAUCGAAUGAAGUGGCUAAUAAGAUUUUCAGAGCCGAAAAGGAAAGGAAAAACUCAAGCGAAGUUUUUUGGAUGGUUGGAUUCGAUGAGACACAAACUUUUGCAGUAAUAUGUAAGCUGCCGGAGACACAGCCCCUGGUAAACAUUCUUUGACCGUUUCGAUGUUUUGAUUUCAAAUACUUUUUGCAGGUCUUUCCGAGGCCUAUACUGAGCUUCUUCAAACACAGCUUGCCACUUGUCAAUGCUGAUCUUGGUGGCGAUGAUCUCGAAAAUGACUACCUUCGCCAUUCUCUACUUCUAUCUGAGGUGCAUUUGUUUGUCUAAGAAGUUUGUGCGUCCAUUUGAUGUGGGGGUUGUGUAGGCACGAGCAAAAGCAGAUCGAGCUGCUGGUGAGGGCCUCGACGCCGAUCACGAGGAUGACAACGUUUUACAGAAGGAAAUAGAGCACGACAAAUAUGUUCUACGUCUCGUGGCAGCCGCAUGCAAAGGUAGAAUUUUCUCUUUACGUCAAGUUUCAUCUCUGACACCAACUCACUUAAAGGUGACAAGCUCGUGAGAGCAAUGGAACUGGCAGCUUCUCUACGACUCCGAAAGUCACUGGAAGGAGCAAUCAAAGUUGUCAAUGCCAUGCGUUUACCGUCUCUCGCAGAUCGACUCAAUAUCAUGCUCGAGGUAUGCCAGAAAAUUGUCUUCAAGAAUGGCCUUCUCACUUCUUAUCCUUUUUCUGCAGCAACGAAAUAUGCAAAAGAGUCUGGAAGACGACGUUUCAGAACCUGCGCGUGCACCAGAUUCUUCCAUCUGGGAGCGUACUCAAAGAGUGGAGGCUUUGGGGAAAGAGCCUGUUCAAAGAGUAGAAGCGCCCGGACCACCACCAUCAGUUCUCCCCGUAGCUCAGCAUCCAAAACCAGUGAUCCAGAAAGAAUCACCGGCGAUCCCGAAGGAGCCGCCUCAGGCUCAGGCUCAUCAACAAGACAGAGCAACUCUUUCCAAUCAACCUGCGAAGAUGUCGCACGAUCAGGCGCCAAUCUCUGCUCAACGGAAGGCAAGCAAUCCUUUUGCAAAAUCACCGACGCCAAAUGGUGGAGCCUCCACAUCGAAGUCGUCGGUGCUGGACUCUCUCAAGCUGCUCCAGGGCGAUAAGAAAAGAAAGGAAACAGAUGGCGAGCAGGGAAAUAAAAGAUCCCGCAAAUCAUGAACACGGCCUGGAGAAAGCAAUCGUGAUCCAGUGAUCCAGUGGUGUCAACUACGUCCAAGUUGUCAUCUUUUCAUGGCUACCAUCUGCCGGUGUGGAUACCGCUACCAAUGACUCGCACUGGAAUUCCUCCUCGUUUGCGAGGGCUUUGCAUCAAGGCAAAUGGUAGCCUUCUUGUUUGGAAUCUCCUCACUGGCUGCAGCAGAAUGGCCAUGAAUUUCUCCACUCCUGACAGUAUUAUUUCUUGAACUUGUCACUUUUAGCAAUUGCAUCAAAAGUUCUUGUUAGCUGCUCGCAAACUUAUUGUAUCUAAAUCUUCCUAAUAGUUCUGUGUUUAGACAAACACUUUGUGCAUAGAGAGAAAUAAUAAGAGGAGAAACAUAGUAUACAUAUCUGAAGAAGUCUUGAUUGCAUUGAUAUUAAUAAUCCAGAUAUUUUGCAAAUUUUUAUUCCAAUGCUUGAAUUGUACUCAUAGUUUGCUUUCCAUAUUCUAUAAAAUAACAAUAAUAAAGACAACUGAAAGACAAGAGACUUGAAGUUUGUAUCCGUUCCUUAGCCCAUGCCUGUGCAGCAUUCACAGCUGUGGGAUCUCACUGCAAGCAGUCAAGUGUCAGGAUCUAUGCAGCCCCAUGAGAGCCAAGCCAGUUGGAAUUGAGGGAGCGAGCGGAGAAACCCUAGCCUCGGCCAGCAUAUAAUAACUGUCGCAUGCCCCACUUCUCUCAAGUAGAUUAUUAUUAUUAUUUUAGAAAAUAGAAGCAAGCAAAACUUCUCAGCUAUGUAUAGUGCGAUCAUAGUGUUUCUGGUCUUAUUAUUUCUUUCCACGGCACUUACACAAAUUCCCGUUUGUCCAGAUCCAGAAUUAAUAGGAGCAGUAAGAUACAACAAGGAAAAGGCUCGAUCAGGCAGCGUGUUUGAUGCACAACUAACACAAACUUUUGAUGCUAUAGUGACAGAUUCUGAAAGGAAUCAUACCGCGAGGAUUGGAGAAAUUCGUGGCUUUUCUUCCUGCUCUCAGUCGCCUGUAUAUCCUCGGUGCUCCCCAUGCCUUGAUACCUUAAGACGUGAUAUCCAAAUGAUUGCUCCUCUUGCUUUGGGAGCUGCUUCAUGUUCCACAACUGGUGAAUGCUACCUUCGUUAUGAAUUGUACGAUUUUCUCAACUGAUUUGCAAGAAAAUAAAUAAAAAUCCAUUGACAGCAAAUCCACAAAAUAGUGACCACAAGCGUUUAGGAGGGAGCGAGCUGCCAGCCGUAACUCCGAAGGGCUAUGGUUUGAAUAAUGUGCAAUAUUCUUGCGAUGAGUGGUCGUUCCCUCUUCCUGCAUAAGUAAACCACAAAGCUUUCCAAUUAUUUUUAAAAAUGUGAGCAUUCCAGGCGAGAGAUGGAAUCCUUUUGAGUGAGCAGGAUUAUGGGCCAUUGUUUGAGAGUGAUGGUUUGCGCCGGUUGAAUGAUAAAAAAUUAUUCCUAAUUUUAAUCUCUAAUAUUUUAUAAAAGGGGUGUAAGUACUUAUAAUAAUUCAAAUACUGGCAGCAUAUGCCCAGAAUGGGCUUGCUGCCGCUAAUCCAUGCCCGACAAGGAUCUCGUUUCGUGGACUCAAUUGUGGCGGCGUGUGCAAGCCGGAAACCUAGAAACUGCAAAGUAUUUGUUUGAUCGGAUGCCCCAGACCGAUCUUGUCAGCUUCAUGCUAUGCUGGAUGCAUUUGCCCGAAACGGGCAUCUGGCAGACGUUUACGCCCUUUUCCACGGGGAAAUGCUCUCCCACGAGAGGAAUCUCAUCUCCUGGAACGCCACUCCGGAGAGCGCAAAGGCGCUGUUCGAUCGAAUGCCUGCGCACGAUUGCUUAUCCUGGAACUCGCUCCUUUUGGUGUAUGGAUCUUUGUGGCUUGUGGAUGCCGCCAUGGAAAUCUUCGGGCUCUUGAUGCUGGAGUGGGACCUCGUAUCAUGGAAUUCUCUCCUGUCAGUGGCGAUUGUAGAGAAGAUCGUCUGGUUGCAAGCAUCUUUGCAUCAAUGCCUGAGAGGAACCUCAUCUCAUCGACUGAAAUGCUGGGAUCUUGCUCGGAUCUUCCACAGACGAAAGAAAUCUUCAAUGCGAUGCCCGAAAGGAAUCAAGUGUCCUUGAACACAAUGCUCAAGGCAUAUAACCAGAGAAAAAAUCUGGAAGAUGCCGAGAAUCUCCUUUGUACGACGUGGAGCAACAUGGUGAUGGCGUACUCCGACCAUUUACGAGGUUCUUGCCGUGCUUGACCGGACCCCUCAUUAUGAGGUUGUCGUGUUGACCGCCCUGGUGUCGGCAUAUGCCCGGCACAGGCAUGGCCGCGAGUCGGAGAUUCUGUUUGACUCCAUGCCGGGGUGGACUCUCAUCUCGUAAAACGCAAUGCUUGCGACGUAUCUCCACAACAGAGAGUUUGACCUUGUUGACUAGACCUUCUCGUCAAUGCCGGUCAGAGACUCUGCGUCGUGGUCAGCGCUCCUCGCUGCAGUUGCGGGGAGAGGGCAAUUUGGAAGAGCCGAGUGUUUGCACGACACAAUGCCCAAGAGGGGCAUUGCCGCUUGGAACACAGUUCUAGCAAUGAACUCGAUCAAUCAGUGAGGAUCCCAAGCGGCAAAGAUGAAGCUGGAAGAGAAUCAUAGCAUGAAUGAGGUGACUAUCAAUACGGGGAGCUGGUGCUCGUGGGAUUGUACCGGACCCUCGUUUCGUAGCGCAACGGACUUGGAGUUCAGUGCGUGUUGCUGGGGUCUACUCAAGCAGGUUAUCGGGCUUCCAGGUGGAGCUUCAGCACUGGAUUACAAGAUCCCAGCACAAAUCAGCAUUACUGCUGCUUGAUGCUUUAUAAUUAAAAUUGUACAUCUAAAUCUACUAGUAUCUAGGAAUCUCGAUAGUCAAGUAAUUUAUAUUUCCUUAAAACGGUAAAAAUUAUUUCUAUAGAUUUACUAGUUUUUUUUUUUAUAAUUUAGUUUUAUGUUAAUAUCUGUAAUUUCAUUAAAUUUCUUCCAUCAUAAUUCUAUUAAUUACUAUUUAUAUAUACAUUCCAACCACAACCCUUGGAAACAAAACUCCCUUCUAAUAGCAUUUAACCUUGUUAUUGUGAAAUCAACUUGUUUGGGGCUAAAUCUUGGUAUUAAACCAUAACAAUUGAAAUUAAAUAAUAAAUUAAUUGGCAAAAUAAAUUUGAUAGAAUAAUCAUUAUUACCAUAGAGAAGUGAGUUAGAUAAUUUGCCCAACUAUAUAUUAAAUUUAUAAUAAUGAUUAUUAAGUUAAAUAGAAAUUUGAAAAUAUAAUAUUCGAGUGCCUAUUUUAGGAACUUCCUAUGAAAUUCUGAAUUUUUUAAAAGUUUUUUACUUUGCUUGAAAUAUAAACAACAUAUUAAAGAAAAGUUUAACAAGAAGAUUCAAAUUUCUAAAAGACCAAAAUAGAGUCAUGCUUAAAGAAGAAUAUAUGAUGUUUUAUUGCAAAUCAUAGUAGUGGUGUUGCCAAUGUCAAUAAAAUUAUUAAUAUUUAAGAUUUUUUAAAAUAAAUUACUAGCCUUUGGUUGCUUAAGCAAAUCUAUAAGAUAUACCUAAAAUAUGUUUGGAUAUUUUGGGAUAUUCUACCAUAUAACAGUUAUUAUUUUUUAUAUUAAUCUUGUAUUUAUAAUUAAUAAGUAUAAAUUACAAAUUUCCUGAACACUUUCUAGUAUAUUCUACUUUAUUUUAUCAUUUAUAUGUAAUAGAAUUAAUUUUUCAUUUAAUUGAAGCUUAAAUCAUGUAUUGGUCUUAUAAAGUUAUAUAUAUUUAUUUCCUCUAAAAAAUUGAAAUGAAAGUAGAGAAUUGCAUGUAUACAAAAGUGUAAACAAUAAAAAAGAAUGACUUAACAAACUAUUAAUAAGGGUUUAAAUAUAAAGAUAAAGAACUUAGAAAUAAAAGUGCAAUAUUUUUUUUAAUCAGUUAAAAGUUUUAGGAGAUUUAGGGUUAAGUGUUAAGUUUAUUACCAGAAAGAAAGGAACUAUUUAUUAUUAUCGUAUUAUAAUAAUUAAUAAGUUUUUAUUUAAUCAAUAAAUAAUAAGCUCUACUAUUAAGCACUCCCACACUUGGAUUAAAGCUUGAAUUGUGCAUAGAUGAUGGAAUAUGGUGAGAAUGACAUAUAAAAAACUCAUUAAUCAACUACUCAAAGAUUUGUUCUUAGUCUUCAAAUAUUAUUGAUUCAACCUUGCAUCUAGCAUGUGGUCUUGGCCUUGAACUGUUGUCCUUUGCUAACUCACACAUUAAUCUUUAUAUGCAUUCUUCUUAAUUGUUGGAAAUGCCUGCAAAGAGUUGCAUACAAUAUUCUUGAAUUUUGACUCAAUGAGGCAAGAUUCUUAUUCAUAUAUCAAGUUGCUACAUUAAUUUGCCCUUCCUAAAUUUGGACUUCUGCAUUAUGAUAAACACUUAAGUAGUGGCUUCCCAAAGAAAGUUUAAUAGGUAAUAUUCCCAACAAAUGAGCUAGGCUAGAUAAUCUCCCCAACACAACAAAUGAGGUUGUCAAGGAAUGGGAGGCGAAAUCACACAGUCAUAGUAGAGGAGAGGAGUAGACAUAAGGCAUAUGGAAAUGCCUCAAUUUCAACAAAAGGAGAACUACUUCAGCUUUAGUGGCCCAUAUCUUUUAUAGGUAAGUUUGUAGUUGCCACAUUGCAUGAUAAAGGAACCCAACAUGGAAGGAAGAUAUGUUGUUAAAUUGCUGAUAAAUCUAUGUAUUUAUAGGGUGGAUAGAGGGAGAGUUCAAGGGGGGAAAUGGUUAUUGAGCAAGUUAUGAGUUGGGAGUCAAGUUAAUUCAAGGGGGGUUCUUUAGGAUAUGGGACAUCUUCUUAUGUAUUGCGCAGGCUUACACCUGUUUUAGAAUUGCUACAACAUAGCAUGCCCUAUAUCAAUAUUAUAAAAUACAAUCAUAUUUUGAUUGCAACUAUAGCAAUCAAAACAUGAUUCUGUCAAUUAUAAUAUUAUGUAGAAUAAAAGAAAAAUACUCCCAAUCAUGUUUUGAUUACAAUAUAUAGCUAUAUUUUAAUGUACUAAUAAUUUUUUGGGUGUUGAAUAGUAUUGCUAUUCCUAUAUAGUAUUUUAUUUACUAAUCUAUGGAAGUUUAUAAUUAUAAACAUGUUUUUAAUUUAUAAAUGCAAGAAUAAUCUUAUUGCUAGAAUAAAAAAGAAUAUACUAGGAAGUAUUAACUGUUAAAGGUAGAAUAUCCCAGAUUAUUUAAGUAUUUUCUAGGUAUAUCCUAAAAAAACUAGAAUAUACUAGAAAUAUUUUAUAAACUAUAUAAACAAAAUUAAUCUAUAUGAAUAACAAUAAUAUCCCAGAAUCCAAGUAAAAAUACAAUCAAUAAAUAUAAAGUUUGUGUAAUAAAACUUAUAAACGUGAAGUUGUUUAUUUUUAAAGCAUUUAGGGCCAUUCGUGUUGAGCAGCCCUGUUCGAGAUGUCCGCGACUAAUCCAGCACUUGCUUGUUGGCUAUGUCGGAAUGGAGGUGCUUGGCUUCUGCUUCAUGGUUGGAUCCAAGCGGAAACGUGCUCCAUAGACAAAGCAUGGAAGAGGUAAGAUUCAGCUAGACAAUCUAUACGAGCGCGGUGGUCAGAUGAAAAGCAUCGACAACGUCAACCACACGAACGCCAACACAUUUCUACAAAGCCUCUCCCUCUCAGCGCUAUUGACAACGAUCUGCCGCAUGAAUCGACAGUUCCCGUGGCUCGGAUCAUCCCUUACGACUCUGCCAAACUCGGGAUCACAGCUGCUGGUGGCCUGGUCAUUGAGCUGAUAGUUGCUGUUGAAAGCAUAGCUCGCUCGCUCGCUCACGGUGAGAAAGUUGCAAGAGCCACCUUCGAAGAGAGGACUGCAGUCUACUUGCUGGCAAGUGGCAUUGAUCCUCUGCUCCAGCCCGUCCGUGGCGUCGUUUGAGACGCACCACCUCGCAGGCAUGUACUCGACGUCUGGGACGUUCUCCAGCUCUCUGGCACCCAACAGCGUAAGGCCAUACUUGCGAGUUCCAUCGUACUGGAAGAUCCCCCAGUGCCGCUCGUAGCCUGGUUUCUUGCGGUCUUCAUCCACCAGGCUGAAGAUAUAUGCGUGGAGCUGGCCGGGCCUCAGCGGGGUACCUCUGGAGCUUUCAAUCCGCUUCACCAGGCCUUGGUUGAAUCGCUCAGCGUUUUGCGGAUUCGCCUGAAGGUUGCAGUCGGUCGGCCAUCCGGUUCCUCCGACGAUGAUUGGCAUGUCCGGGAAGCCGGCUUGUUUCAGAGCCGACACCACAGUGUCGAAGAUGGCGUCGAAGGCGUUGGUGUAGUUGUUGCCUUGGUCCUGUUGAAAUGGGAAAUCGCCAUCGAAGAAGGCAAAAUCGAGGGGAAAGGAUGGAUCCUUCACCGAGCUGAUGAAGGGGUGGAUGUUGACGGUGAAAGGCGACUUUGAGUCGGAGAGAAGCUCCAAGAUGGUCUUCAUCUCGUCGGGGCGGAUGAAAUUUCCAGUGGAGGGUGUGAAGGAGUUCGAGGUAACGAUGCCAGCGCUGAAGGGAAUGGUGGUUUUGAUAUCUCUGGUUCUUGUCUGCUUGUCGAGCGCAGCCCGGAUGUUCUUCACUGCUCCAACAACAGCGUCGAGUCUCACAUCGUGUAGUGGUUCCUCGCCAACAGCGACAUAUCUGUUUGACAACCUCUCAGAUCAACAAACGAUCACAAACAGGAAGACAAAAAGAAACAAAAGAUAUCACCUGAUGUCUACUCGUCUCUUGGGGUACUUGAGGUACCAAGUUACGUUGCUCUCCACCCAGUUGCGAGCAGCGUGCAUGCUCGAGGACAGCGUCUCCAGCAUGGUGUUGGGAAUUCCAACCAUGACUUCGAUGUUGGAGCCUGCCAGUGCGUGGAGGACGGAGGCGUCCGUGUCAAACAUCUUCACUCUCGUGAAGCUGUUCUUCUGGAGCAUUUUGACAACGCUCGGCGCGUGGAGGGGGUGAGAUACCUGCGUUCCCCAGUUGACACCAACCUGAGCUCGACUUGAUCCAACUAGCAGCAGCAGCAGCAGUAGCGACAGCGUUGUCGAGAAGUCCAGCCGGACCAACAUCACUACGAGCAGAAUCGACCAUCUCCAAACGUCCUAUCUCUCCCACCUCGGUCCGAAGAGUAGCGGCUGUCAUCCUUAAAACGCACUGCUACUCAACUCCUUGCUUGACUUUGGUUUUACCUCUACCUUGAUCCCGGGCUUCGUAGAGAUCAAUGCAACCAUGGAUCUUACCAGAGGUAAACGUUCGCAAUUCACAUCACGACGGAAAUCACGAAUGAAGCUCUUUUUUCUAACCAGAAGAACAAACUGCUAGGACCAGAGAUAAGCUUUUGGGAACACAAACUCUUUCGUUUGCUUAAAUUUCUCUUAUCACUACAGCGAGAACGAUGGCGAACACCAUCAUGGCAAACGCUCGAGGACGCUCUAAAGUAACUCGUGAAGAGUGCGAUGCGACGACUUUCAGCUUGAUCUGCCGGAUGAAUCGGCAGUUCGGCGUGCUGGGAUCGACACCGGUGAUGAUCCCGUUUCCUUGGAAGUCACAGCUGCUGGGAACUUGGUCCUUGAGCUGGAAGUAGCUGUUGAACGCGUACGAAGCGGCCUGCUCGGGAGAGAGCGUCGGGUAGCAAGAGCCGCCAUCCGGGACGAGCGGCGUGCAGUCGGCUGCCGAGCAAGCGAAAUCAAUCUGGCCUUGCGGGACUGCUAUGCCGGGUUUCAAGACGCACCACAGUGCCGGGUAGUAGUCAACGCCACCGACUUUCUCGAGCCCCGACGAGCUUCCGCUCGUGUUGAGGAGGUACUUGGGCUGACCAUCGUACGUGAAGAGACCCCAGUGACGCUCGAAGUUACCCGGGGCGAUGCUCUUGAGGUCCUCGUCGAAGAGGCUGAAGAUAUAGGCGUGGAGUACAGUUCCUGGCCGCAUUGGCGUACCUGGUGGAGAGGGCCUGUGGAUCCAGAGGUGGAAGAACUUAGAACACUCGCAAGAUCGAACUAGAAGUUGGCAUGAGAUACUUACGAGAUGAUUCGACUGACCAGAGCCUGGUUGAAUCUCCUCGCGUUGGAUGGUGUCGCGCUCGGGAAACCAUCGGUCGGCCACCCGGCCUCGCCCACGAUGAUCUCCAUGUUUGGGAAGCCCGAGUCCGUGAGAGCCGCGACCAGCAUGUCGAAGGUGGCAUCAAAGACGCUCCUGUAGGUGCUCUGGCCGUAUUGGACCUGGAAGCACCCGUCCAGGAACGCAUAUUCACUGGGGAAGUUUGGAUCCUGCGCCAGGCUGAUGAAAGGAUAGAGGUUGAUCGUGAAGGGGGCUCCGGUGCUGGCGAGAGCUUUCACAAUGUCGUCCAUGAGCAUCUUGAUAUCGUUCCUGAAAACUCCGGUGGAUGGAUCUUGGUUGCCGGGGUCCCGGGGCUGCAACACAUCGGCAUUGAGUGGCACGGUGGCUUUGAUCUGGUCCGCGAACUUGGCCUUGGAGAGCGCCGCCUGGAUGUUCUUCAGUGCUGGGAGGGUCACGCCCUCGAAACUUUUGUUGUAGCCCGCGAGAAAGGGCUCGUUUCCGACAGCGACAUACCUGGGUCAAGUAAGCUUACCCUUCAGUCAUCAGUCCACUCUGGUAAAUUCUCAGUAAGUUGGUCACAACUAUAACUCUCAGUCCACUCGUUCGUUAGUCGACUUCAGUCAACACCUUUCACUCAACACUCCAUCCAUUUCCUCCUCUAGUCAACGUUAGUCCACACUUCUCAACAGUCAACUGAUAUAGUCUACGUUAGUCCGCUUCACAGUCAACACACACUUACCUGAUAUUGACCCUCUUCUUGCGGAGGUAGUAGUGCGUGACGUUCAUGAGCACCCAGUUGCUCGCGGCGGCGGCGUCGGUGGCCAGCGUCUCCAGCAUGUCGUUUGGGAUGCCCAGCAUCACCUCCAGCGGUGAACCCGCCAGAGCGCUCAUGAUUCGGGGCUCCGCCUCGAACAGCUUCACUCGUCCCACAUUGUUGGAGACGAGCGCGCGAACCACGUCCGGCGCGAACAGCGGGUGUGACAUCUGGGUUCCCCAAUUCACGCCGAUCGUUCCACUCUGAUGCCGCUGAUCUGCCGGUGAUGGUGGUUGCUGUUCUUGACCUUGUGGUGGUGGCGGCAAUGGCUGCUGUUGAUCUUGUGGUGGCGGUGGAGGUGGCUCUUGAUCUUGGCCUUGUGAGGGUGGCGGCGGCGGUAGUGCCUGUUGAUCUUGCGGUGGUGGUGGUGGCAAUGGCUCAUAGUCAUCGGUUUGAGCAACAGUGCUAACAAAGCUAUGACCAUCACAAGAAAGAAGGAGAAGAAGAAGAAGAGCCAACAUCAAUCUCGACAUGAUCUAUGGAGAGAAAUCUUCCAUGUUCGUGCAUUUCUUGGUCCCCGGCCAUUGCGUAGCUUGACCGGAAAUUUUCCAGCUUGAAUCUCUUAUGCUUGCUCCGCGAUCCAAGCCUUGAACGAUUCCUUCCACUCCAAUGACAGUUGUCGCGGCAGCUGGAAACGAGAGACUUACACUCGAGUGUGACGCCUGGAUCAAGUCUUGCCGCAGCUUGGCCAAUCUCCAAGCGAUCCACAAGCGGAUCAUCCUCCGCCACGGCGGCCUCUUCCUCGAUCGCAACACCGGCCUCUCAAAUCUCCUGCUCCAGCGCUAUGCCCGCUGCGGCAGCCUUGAUCACGCGGAGCAAAUCUUCGCCGCCAUCCGGGACAAAGACGUCAUCUCCUGGAAUGCCAUGCUCUCCGCAUAUGCCCGGACGGGGCAUCACACCGCCCAAGCCAAGCUCCUCUUCGACUCCAUCCCCGACCGCGAUCGCGUCUCCUGGAACGCGAUGCUGGGCGCCUACGUCCACGCCGGAAACCUCCAGGAAUGCAAAGACAUCUUCGAUAGAUUUCCGGAACGAGACAUAGUUUCAUGGAACUCUCUCCUUGCGGCAUAUGCCCAAAAAGGGCAAAUGGACAAAGCCCAAGUUGUGUUUGAUCAGAUGCCCGAGAGAGGCCUGAUCACCUGGAACACAAUGCUGGCAGCAAACUCCAGAAACAACCAUGUCGCUCAAGCCAAGAAACUCUUCGACGAAAUGCCGGAGAGAGACUAUAUCUCCUGGAACACGAUGAUGAACGCAUAUACCCAAGCCGGGCAUAGUCGCGAGGCCAAAGAGCUCUUCGACCAAAUGCCAGCGCGGGAUAUAGUUUCAUGGAACGGGCUUCUCAUCAUGUACGGGACGAGUGGCAAGACCGACCCGGCCAGAAGCGUGUUCGACGCUAUGCCGUACAGAGAUCUCGUCUGCUGGAACGUCAUGGUCUCUGUGUAUGCCCAGUCCGGGCAUCUGGAUCCUGCCAGGGAGCUGUUUGAUCGCGCGCCGGAGCGAGACAUCGUGGUGUGGAAUGCGAUGCUAUCGGCAUACGCAAAAGCAGCAGCAGCGGCAUACAAUCGCAAGCGCCAGAGAGACGUCACACUCAGCAAAAUGGUAGUCGACAUCAAGCCUGUGGGAGCUGAUGGCUCCGAAGUCCAUCCCACCACCUUUGCCUCCAAAGAAAAAGAUAGUGAAAUCGAGGACGAGGACGAGGAGGAGCGGCGGCGAUGCCACCGGGAUUUGGAGGCGGCGCGGGAGCUCUUCGAUGCAAUGCCGGACCGAAAUGUGAUCUCCUGGACGACGAUGCUGACGCUGUACGCCCAGAGCGGGCAUGUCGGUGAGGCCAAGCGUAUCUUCGAUCACGCGUUGAUGCCCGAGAGGGACGUAGUUUGCUGGAACGCUCUCUUGGCUGCCUACGCGCAGGCCGGGAACACCCCGGCUGCCACCCGGAUCUUCGCGCUCAUGCCUUCGCGCAACCUCGAGUCCACCAACGUCAUGCUCGCGAUGCUGUUCCACAGCUCAAACUCGCGAUCCAUCGCUCGCGGGCGGCGGAUCUUCGCGCGCUCUAUCCGCGAUGGGAUUGCUCCCGACGAGGUGAGCUUCGUCCAUAUGCUCUUUGCUUGCAGCCACUCGGGCGGAUUGAGCGCGGGGCUGCGCUACUUCCGAUCCAUGGCGAUGGAUUUUGCGCUGCGCGGGACGAAGCAGCAGUAUAGCAUCAUGAUCGAUAUCAUUGCCCGCGCUGGGCAUCUGGAGGACGCGCGCGAGCUCAUCACAAACAUGCCGUUCUUGCCCGAUUCUCGCGACUGGACGAGCUUGCUGGAUGCUUGCCGGAGUAGCAGUGGCAAGAGCGCCAUGAAAGAGCGCGUGAUCGACGUUGCCAGGCACGCGAUUCGAUCGGAUCCACGGGACUCGGCACUCUACGUUUUGAGCACAAACAAUCUUUGAUUUCCUCGAGAGCUCAUCGAUAAUGAAUGGAAAUAAUUCUUACAGUAUCCCCGGACGAUCAAAACACCCUCUCAAGAACAUAUUCCACCAUCUUUUCCAGCGAGCUCCUGGCCGCUCCCACUGGCAGGCACUCGAGAGCCUGGAUCGCGAGCUCGGCCUUUUGCUUGGCCAGCUCCAUCGCCCUGUCGAUCCCUCCGCCUCUCUUCACCAGCUGGACUGCGGACUCCAGCGAUCCCUCGUCCGUGAACUCGGAGUCGAUCAGCUUCCUCAGCUCCGGCUCCUUGUCCAGGGCAAACAGUGCCGGGGCUGUCAAGUUCCCCUUCGCUAGAUCGCUUCCGGCGGGCUUCCCGAGCUGUGCCGUCGACUGCGUGAAGUCGAGGAUGUCGUCCACGAUCUGGAACGCCAAGCCCAGGUACUUCCCAUAGUCGAACAUCUUGUCACAGACGCUCGGGUCGGCACCGCUGAAGAUGGCGGCCGAGCGAGUGCUGGCUGCGAUGAGAGAGGCCGUUUUGUAGUAGCUCUUGUCCAAGUAGUUGUCUAGCGUGAUCUCGGAGUCGAACAGACUCGACGCUUGUUGGAUCUCUCCGCUAGCGAAGUCUUUGAUCACCUAGAUACAAAAGGAGUCCGAGUAAGAGGACGGACGGUUUCUUCGCGAAAGAGUGAGACAAACCUGACUAAUCAACUUGAUAACUUCGAGGUUGUCCAGGUUUGCCAGGUACCAAGACGACUGCGCAAACAUAAAAUCGCCAGCUAACACUGCAAUUCUAGUUCCGUAUAGUUGAUGGACGGUUUCUUUCCCUGUGCAUAGCCAGCGAUCAGUAUGUCAAUGUCAAAGAUUCGAAUUCUCACCUCGUCGGACGUCACUCUCGUCCAGGACAUCGUCGUGAAUGAGGCUAGCUGUGUGUAUCAUUUCUGUAAUUUCCGCUAGUCUUCGGUGCUGUAGAUGGAUCGUGCUGCCAUUUACAUAUCAAAGACUUAGUACAGUGGAGAGAUGAAGAAAAGAGGAAAAGUUACUUGAGACGAGCAAGCUGCAUAGUUGCUCUCGACACCAAGAACACGAUCGCUGGACGCAUUCUCUUUCCACCGGCACCGAAGAUCUGCUCCGCGGCUGACAUCAAAAGAGGAUUUUGCACACCAACGAUCUGAAAAAAAAAAAAAACCAUAAAUUUCUGCAAGCUCAAAGGACGAACAAACUUACAGAUUGUAAGUUUUGGUUGAGCGCAUCAAGAUCACUGCUCACAGGCUCGAUAAUCUCAUUCAAGCUGAGCUUCUCGCGUCGCUCGCGUCGCUGGACGUAAGAAGCCACGCCAUUGAGGAAUUUGGAAUUGGUAGCAUCUCCAGCUAUCUACCGGAAGCUCAAAUUAACACUGGGAAGAGCAAAGAAAGAAAGAAAAAGAAAAGAGCGUAAAGAAUUUUCACCUGGUAUUGGAGAGGAGGUGUUAACGCUCAAGCUCGCGGGACUCCCGCUAGCAGCCGUGAAAGAAAUCGUUGCUCCCUCGGCGACUACUCUUCUCCUGCUCCAGCAUUUGGCACUUCUCCUACGGUCGAUUGCCCUGCGCUGCUGAUAACCUAGGCCGGCAUCAGAUCCUCUGGCACAGAAUGCCGUGCUCGUCAUUGCGCCACACCUGGAAUGGAUGGAAUGACACAAUCUGUAGACGAUGGAAUCACACCAAAGAUUUCGAUUCAGGAGGAGACGACCGCAUUUACCUGCCGGAUUGCGUUGCUCGGAGCUCGCGAAUUCGCCGGAUUUCCUCCCUAGAAAGCGCAAUAUGGCGCCAUUGCUCCACCUCACAGAAAAUAUUUAAGGGCUUUAUCCUCGCGAGGAACACAUGGGCCAUAUGGCCGAAACCUUGCCGCCAUUGCGCUUAUGGACUGUACGUGUCCACGCUCGCAAGCUCUAGAAUCGUGCCACGUGUGUGCCAGGAUCAUUCCCUCCCUUGUCCCUUCCUUACACGCCUCCACGAAGAAGAAAAUGAUCGUGAGAGAGUUUCUAGCGAUGACUCAAUGAUCGCGACGGCGGCCAGCGCCAAGCAAGACGAGAUCAAAUUCUUCGCCCGGCUGCUCAAAUCCUGCGGCGAAUCCAGGAACCUCGCCGAGGGCAAAUUCGCGCACUCGCAGAUCUCGCGCAGCGAUCACGCCAAGAAUCUCUUCCUCCGCAAUCUCCUCAUCGAGAUGUAUGGGAAGUGUGGCAGCGUCGCGCUCGCGCGGGAGGUGUUUGAUUCCCUCGAGUCCCCCAACAAAUUCUCCUGGAACAUCAUGCUCGCGGCAUAUGCCCACAACGGGGAGUUGCGCGAGGCGAGGAAGAUCUUCGAGCAAAACCCACUGCCGGAUCCGGUGGCCUCCGCGGCGAUGAUCCGCGCGUACGCGCUGGCAGACGAUCUCGAGCAAGCACGCGCGAUCCUCCUCCAAAUGCCGGAUCUCAACGUAGUGUGCUGCACGAUCCUCAUCCACGCAUAUGCCCAGCGCGGGCAUCACGCCUCCGCACAAGAACUCUUCGCCCAGAUGCCCGAUCGCGAUGUCACGGUGUGUAACGCGAUGAUGAAAUCACUCGCGGAGGACGAUCGGUUGCUGCUAGCGCGCCGGCUGUUCAAUCAAAUGCCCGAAAGAGAUGUGGCGUCCUGGAACACGAUGAUCCAAGUGAAUGCCAUUCACGGGCAUCUUGGAGAGUCGCGGCGGCUCUUCCGUGCGAUGCCGCAGAGGAACAUCAUCUCCUGGACGGCGAUGCUAGCGGCGGAGGAGAGCGAUCUCGCCGCCGCCAAGAUCACAUUCGCGGGGAUGCCCGAGUGGAACGUCGUCUCCUGGACGGUGAUGAUCACGGCGCUGGCACAGGCCGGGCUAGCGCGCGAGGCGGCGGUGCUAUUCGCCCAGCUCCCGGAGCAAAACAUCGUCUCCAUCACCGCCAUGAUCUCGGGGCUCGGCGCCGCGGGAUCGAUCGACGAGGCGCGCAGCCUCUUCGAUCGAAUGCCCGCCCGGAACCAAGUCUCCUGGAGCGCGAUGAUCCAAGCCUACGCGCAGAAUGGCUACAUCGACGAGGCGCGAUCGAUUCUAGACGCGAUGCCGGCGAUGGAUUCCGUGGCCUGGAACACGAUGAUCGCGGCGUAUGCCCAAGAUGGGCAAAUCGAGGAAGCGCUCGCGAUGCUCAACCAGGUCCCCUGCGCGAGCCCACUGCCCUACACGGUGGUGAUCUCCGCGAUGGCGCAAGAAGGAGCCCUAAUCCCCGCCACGAAGCUCUUCUCGCGGAUCCCCAACCACGACACGGUCUCGUGGACGGCGAUGGUGGCGGCGAAUGCCCAGAACGGGCAUGGCAGGGCGGCGCUAGGGUUCUUCCGGGCGAUGGAUCUCGAGGGCGUGGCGGCGGACGAGAUCACGAUCCUGAGCGUGCUGAGCGCUUGCGGGCACGAGGGAUUGCUGGCCGAGGGCUGGAGCUACUUCGUCCUCCUGGGCGACGAUCGGGGGAUGGCCGCGAGCGUGGAGCACUUCUACUGCAUGGUGGAUGUGAUCGGGCGCGCGGGGCGGCUCCAGGAGGCCGAGGAUCUGAUCGCGAGCAUGCCAUUCGUGCCCAAUGUGGUGCCGUGGACGAGCUUGCUCGCGGCGUGCCGGACGCACGGCGAUGCGCACAGGGGGGCGCGCGCCGCGGAUCGUGUUCUUGAGUCGCGAUUUGGGGCGAUCGAUGUGCCCUACGCGCUGAUUUGCAACGCCUACCUCGGCGCUGGGAGGAUCCAGGACGCCGAGAUGGUGCGCCGGAUGAUGAGGGAGCAGCAAUUGGGGCUGGGCGCGCGGAGGAGGAGAAGAGUCGCUCUCUCGCAAAGUACGGAUUGCUUUGCCCUAGAGAUUUAGCGCCAAGAGACAUUUAAAAACCACUCAAGAAACAGAGUUACAUUAUUCUUACUAGCACACCAUAGCCUUAGUCCUCGCCAUAGUUCCUCCGGCCGCCAUAGCCAGUGUAGCCUUCGCUCUUGUCUUCCCCGUACUUCUUCCGGCCGCCAUAGCCACCAUAGCCUUCGCCAUCGCCUUCUUCGUAGUUCUUCCGGCCUCCAUAGCCUUCUUCACUCUCUUCUUCCCCGUAUUUCUUCCGACCACUGCCAUAUCCUCCACCUCCAUAGCCUUCGCCUUCUUCGUCGCCACCAUACUUCUUUCGUCCUCCAUAGCCUUCGCUCUCUUCAUCUCCACCAUACUUCUUUCCUCCUCCAUAGCCUUCGGUCUCUUCAACGUCAUCACCAUACUUCUUUCGCCCUCCAUAGCCUUCGGUCACUUCAACGUCUCCUCCAUAGUUCUUUCGCCCUCCAUAGCCUUCAGUCACUUCAACGUCGCCACCAUACUUCUUGCGCCCUCCAUAGCCUUCGCUGUCUUCAACGUCGCCACCAUACUUCUUCCGUCCUCCAUAGCCUUCGCUCUCUUCCUCCUCUCCAACAUAUUUCUUUCGUCCUCCAUAGCCUUCGGUCUCUUCCUCCUCGCCACCAUACUUCUUUCGCCCUCCAUAGCCUUCGGUCUCUUCAAAGUCGCCACCAUACUUCUUUCGCCCUCCAUAGCCUUCGGUCUCUUCUUCAUCGCCACCAUACUUCUUUCGCCCUCCAUAGCCUUCGCUCACUUCACCGUCGCCACCAUACUUCUUUCGCCCUCCAUAGCCUUCGGUCUCUUCAACGUCGCCACCAUACUUCUUGCGCCCUCCAUAGCCUUCGCUGUCUUCAACGUCGCCACCAUACUUCUUCCGUCCUCCAUAGCCUUCGCUCUCUUCCUCCUCUCCAACAUACUUCUUUCGUCCUCCAUAACCUUCGCUCGCUUCAUCGUCUCCACCAUACUUCUUUCGUCCUCCAUAGCCCUCGCUCUCCUCCUCAUCGCCGCCAUACUUCUUUCUUCCUCCGUAGCCCUCGGUCCCCUCCUCGCCACCACCACCUCCAUAGCCACCGCCAUAACCCUGGCUCUCCUGUUCUUCACCGUAUUUCUUCCGACCACCACCAUACCCGUAGCCUCCGCUCUCCUCGCCACCACCGUAGCCUUCACUCUCGCCCUGCCCACCACCAUAGCCUACAUUCCCAGAUCCAUACUCACUCCCUCCGCCAUAGCCAGAUCCAUCAUACCCAGAUGAAUGCCCGCCAUAGCUACUCUUCCCCUGGCCAUGGCCGUAGUAAGAAGGCUUGGCAGUGCCAUAAUCCGUGGCUCUCCCCACAUCCACCUCGAAAUCCUCAUCGCCAUACUCACCCGGAUCGCCACUGCGAGGGUAGCUCCACUCUUCACUCGCUUCCUUGAUGGCGCCAUACACAGAUCCAAUGUCGUAGCCCCCGACGUAGGGCUCUGGAUCGAAUUCGUCGUGAUCCUCAGCAUCCUCGCCGCGAUCGCCCCCUCGUCCCCAUCCUCGAGCCAUGAUCUCUACACGUCAACAGUGUUCUUCCAAUCCGUCAGGGGUUCGAAUCGUUUUACAAGAGUGUGCCACGUCAUUGCCACGCAAGCGAUGCGUUGGCUUGCCACGUCGGUGUGUUUAAUAGAAAUUGCAGGGUUUGAAUUAGGUUAUCGAGCUGCGGCAAUGGCGAGCGCGAUGGCGAGGCGCGUCGCGAAUGUCGUGGCCAGAUCGCGGAUUUCUUCCUUCUAUCCACUGCACAAGGCCAUCGCCGCGCCGAAAAGCGGUCCCUGGGAGCAGCAGUUGCGGCAUCUCAACAUCCACGAGUAUCAGGUAUUUCCUUAGCUCAGUAGCAUCCGAUCAAUCGAUCGAGUGAGUCUCAUUGCCGUGCCGAUCGUCCAGGGCGCCGAUCUUAUGAGCAAGUAUGGCGUGAAUGUUCCAAAAGGGGCGGUUGUUUCGUCCAGGAAAGAGAUCUCAACCGUGUUGGAAAAGGAGUUCCCUGACAAUGAAGAGGUAUGGUUUCCAGAGAGGAAGACGAACGUUUUCAUGUUUUCUUCUACUUCUUUUUUUCUUUUUCAGCUUGUUGUGAAGAGUCAAAUUUUGGCUGGUGGUCGUGGUUUGGGAACUUUCAAGAAUGGUUUGAAGGGAGGCGUUCACAUCGUCAAACGAGACAAAGUCGAGGAGAUUGCAGGUUUGCGAUUUCCUUAAGAGACCUUAUUUGCUUAAGCACAUCUUUCCAGGAAAAAUGCUCGGUCAGAUACUUGUGACCAAGCAAACGGGACCGGAGGGAAAGCCAGUGAACAAGGUAAUGGCUGGUUACAGAAACCCACUCAUUGAACUCUUCCUCAGGUUUUCAUAUGCGAGAAGCUGCAGCUUGUCAAUGAAAUGUACUUCGCCAUUGCUCUAGACAGAGCAAGCGCUGGGCCUGUAAGCUCACCCAAUUUUUUUUUUCUCCUCUGAUUUACAUGCUGUUUUUAUACCAGGUUAUUAUUGCCUGCAGCAAGGGUGGAACAAGCAUAGAAGAUUUGGCUGAGAAAUACCCGGACAUGAUCAUCAAGGUUUUUAUUUUCCUCUCUUCAAAUUUAGAAGAAUGUACUAAUUCUAAUGCCAGGUCCCUAUCAACAUCCACAAAGGCAUCACCGAUGCCGAUGCAGAGAAGGUUGUAAACGGACUGAACUUGAAGUGCGCAGAUAAAAACGACUCGAUGCAGCAAGUAAAGCACCUGUAUGAUCUUUUCUGCAAAUCCGACUGCACGCUUGUGGAGGUGAGAAACUUUGCCCCUAGGCUAUAGCCAUCUAACCAAGUGCCAAUUAUGCAGAUCAAUCCACUGGCAGAGACUGCGGAUGGAAAGCUCGUCGCUGCCGAUGCGAAGCUCAACUUCGAUGACAAUGCGAGCUUCCGUCAACAGGAGAUAUUCGCACUUCGUGAUCAAUCUCAAGAAGAUGCUCGAGAGGUUUGAGACCUUGUUCAUAGUUUCACGUUUUAAUGCCUGUUCGAAAAACAGGUCGCUGCUGCUGCCGCCGAUUUGAACUACAUUGGAUUGGAUGGCGAGAUUGGCUGCAUGGUGAAUGGAGCAGGACUCGCGAUGGCAACCAUGGAUAUCAUCAAACUGCACGGAGGCUCACCAGCCAACUUCCUUGACGUUGGCGGAAAUGCUUCAGAAAACCAGGUACAUUAUACCACUUUUUCUCUCUGGUCUAGACUCUGUUUGCUACUUCUUUCCAGGUCAUUGAAGCCUUCAAAAUCCUCACGUCUGACAAGAA
rnacentral:lncRNA from 1 species